UCUGAGAAAUCUGCUUGGGGGGAACUGGUGUGGGAGCUCCCACUGGCCACAGGAAUUUGUAAAGUCCAAGAUUACUCCUGGGAAUACACUCACACACACCCACACACACAAAUGUAUGAAAUCUGCGGACGUGCCAACUGCAGGUGCACAGAGCUGGGCUUGGACACAGCAAUGCUGAUAUCCUGCUCUGCAGGGCACGACAGCGUGGAGGCUGCUUUGUUUGAGAAGUGUCAGUGUGUGGCUCUUGCUGCUGGAUGGCUGCUCCAAACAGGGCCAAGCUGAGUCCUGCUUUGUGUUGCCCAAAUGGCUUCUCCAUGGCCAGAAGAAGCCAGGUUUGGAGGCCCAACCUUCUGGAGAUCAGCACCCAGCGCCUUGCCUAUGGAUUUCUGGGAAGCAGGAGCAGCCCACUAGUCCCUUGAGCCAUCUAGUGGUGCCUUCCUUGACUAUUGAGCAGAACAUCACACUGAAAAAACCAUAAACAGCAUCUCAUUAAUGUGCAAACAGUGAUUAGUGCCAGAAGCAGGCCAACCACAAUGAAAGCAUCAGUGCUUUUAGUGGGGUUACCAAAGCAACAGAAGUUCUGGCCUGGAAAUGGCAGACAAGAUAAAGAUGUGGAUGCCAACAAAGGAUGCUCAAGGCUAAGAAGAUUGGUCUGUUGUGAUCUGUUUUGUGCUUUUGUCUUGGUGUUUGCAGCCCUUUAUGGUUCCUCACUGAACGAGGCUGGGAUGUAAAAAGCAAAGCUGAACUUUCCGACCUGAAACCUCAAACCCUUUUCUGAUGGUUUUUGUAACUGGAAAGCGGAAAUAGAGCCUUCAGUAAUUCAAAAGAGAUUUAAUGAUCAAAGCUGCAAUUAAAAGCGUGGUGAGUCAUCUUACAGUCGUCCAUGUGCUAAAAUGCACAGGCUGUGCAAGAGAUCAUGUUGUCAUGGCUGGUUUUACUCAAAGUGAGGACAUAGGAGCUGCCAUUACUUCCAGCUUCAGAAACUGAGUUCUGCAGACCUGUGUUUAUAGAGCAGAAGAAAAGGCAACAGUCCUGACUCCCCCAUUUGUGUAUUUUAUUCAGUAGUUCUGUCUGCAACAUCUGAAUUCAUCACCGUGCUUUAUUACUUUUCUUCUUCUUUCAGAGUGUCUGCUCUCAGUAGGAAUCUUGAUUUUUUUUUUAAUUUACACUAACAAAUUGCCCACCAAAACAAAUACAGAAGAGCUGAUCUUUAGAGUAUUGUGGGUUUUUUUUUGCUUUCUGCAGCAUGCACUAACAAUGAAAUAUUUAACUGAACUUUUCACAGUAUGUGCAUUUUCUCAAAUUAAAAUUGCAAAAGACAAGGAAAUGAAGAUAAAAAUACCCAACCAAGCUGUUUCUCAGAAACUCUCACAAGUAAUCUAAUAUUUCCCUUCAAAUCCUGUUGUUUUAUUCUGCUCAAUAGAAAAAAAUAGUGCUAAAUAGAAUUUAGUUUUAGUAAAGAAUAAACUU